GACGACUCUCGACAACGGAUAUCUCGGCUCUCGCAUCGAUGAAGAACGUAGCGAAAUGCGAUACUUGGUGUGAAUUGCAGAAUCCCGUGAACCAUCGAGUCUUUGAACGCAAGUUGCGCCCGAAGCCACUAGGCUGAGGGCACGUCUGCCUGGGUGUCACGC
rnacentral:rRNA from 5 species